GAGGAAUAUUGGUCAAUGGACGCAAGUCUGAACCAGCCAUGCCGCGUGCAGGAAUAAGGUCCUCUGGAUUGUAAACUGCUUUUAUACAGGAAUAAACCUCUCGACGUGUCGAGAGCUGAAGGUACUGUAGGAAUAAGCACCGGCUAACUCCGUGCCAGCAGCCGCGGUAAUACGGAGGGUGCAAGCGUUAUCCGGAAUUAUUGGGUUUAAAGGGUCCGCAGGCGGUCCUAUAAGUCAGGGGUGAAAUCCCACAGCUUAACUGUGGAAUUGCCUUUGAAACUGUAGGACUUGAAUUAAGUAGGCGUUGGCGGAAUAUGACAUGUAGCGGUGAAAUGCAUAGAUAUGUCAUGGAACACCGAAAGCGAAGGCAGCUAACGAUGCUUAUAUUGACGCUCAGGGACGAAAGCGUGGGUAGCAAAC
rnacentral:rRNA from 1 species